AUAAAUCCAGUGACAAAGAGAGUAGCCUAUAAUGGAUUUCCAGCGAGUCGGAGUUUGGUGUGAGUCCGAUAAUGAAGUAUAGAGUGAAGAGAACUUUUGAGGAGAAUUCCAGAAAUAAUAGUAUGGAAUUAGGUCGCCCGCCUUAAGGGUUUGAGAGGGUAGGUAGAAAUACUUAUCAAUAAGAGUGGUAACGCGGUUAAUUCGUCUCUUAG
rnacentral:ncRNA from 1 species